ACGCUCGACACCUACAGGAGGCAGCAGUAGGGAAUCUUCCACAAUGGGCGCAAGCCUGAUGGAGCAACACCGCGUGAGUGAAGAAGGGUUUCGGCUCGUAAAGCUCUGUUGUUGGAGAAGAACGUGCGUGAGAGUAACUGUUCACGCAGUGACGGUAUCCAACCAGAAAGUCACGGCUAACUACGUGCCAGUAGCCGCGGUAAUCUGAGCGGGCUGGCAAGGC
rnacentral:rRNA from 1 species